CUUCCACACUCAUUCUUGAAGUUGUUCAAGUAUAGAACCAUUUUUUAGUUUUUUUUUUUUUUUUUUUACAGACUAAGGUGCUCAGCUUUUGAAGGUUACCCCUUUUCAUAGGCAUUUCACAAUGUGGGUAUUUACUUCUUCCAGACAAGCAUGAGGGCAUCUCUCUCACUAGGAAUUUCUCCAUCCAGCUGGCUAAAAUGGAACCUUAUCAAAUAUAACCUAAUCAAGGAGUGACUACCCCAAUAUAUUCACAGGCCUUUCCAUGCUCAAGGGGAAUGAAUUAUAUAAGUUAUGAUAUAUAUUAUAAAAUAUGAUAUAUAUUAUAUAAGUCAGUAAUCUUGGGGGUCAUCACAGAAUUUUGGCUAUACUAUCCCAGGACUUGUGUUUGUAUUUUUGGUUUUUUUUAUUGUUUGUUUUCUACUAAUGGAUCAUUUGUAAAUUCUCACCUUUAUUUUAUUACUUUAUAUACCACUCAGUGGCCGACAUAUGUUUUUCUCUAGUGAUUUUUAAUCAAAUAUUAUUUUUAAUAAGAGAUAACCUACAUCCACAUUCCCACUCUCAUUUCCACAUUUUCCCAUCACCUUGUCAC
rnacentral:lncRNA from 10 species